rnacentral:rRNA from 1 species
AGUGAACGCUGGCGGCAGGCCUAACACAUGCAAGUCGAACGAACUCUUCGGAGCUAGUGGCGGACGGGUGAGUAACGCGUGGGAACGUGCCUUUAUCUUCGGAAUAGUCCUGGGAAACUUGGGGUAAUACCGGAUAUGCCCUUCGGGGGAAAGAUUUAUCGUGUUAGGAGCGGCCCGCGUUUGAUUAGCUAGUUGGUGAGGUAAAGGCCCACCAAGGCGACGAUCAGUAGCUGGUUUGAGAGGAUGAGCAGCCACACUGGGACUGAGACACGGCCCAGACUCCUACGGGAGGCAGCAGUGGGGAAUCUUGCGCAAUGGGGGGAAGCCUGACGCAGCCAUGCCGCGUGAAUGAUGAAGGUCUUAGGGUUGUAAAACUCUUUCAGCUGGGACGAUAAUGACGGUACCCGGAGAAGAAGCCCCGGCUAACUUCGUG